AAAAUUAUAAUUGUAUGUUGUGUUUCUUAAUAUUUCAGAUGCUGUGUGGACAAAGUAAUCCACGAUGGCAAAGCUUAGCUUAUACGAAGCAAAUGUACAGUCGUUUUAUAUGGAUGUCGGAAAGAAAUCAAGGGUGUGGAAAAAAUAUCAGAAGGGUUAAAAGAUUUAUGUAUACAGGUAACAGCAGAUCAGGUUAAAUGGAAAUUUAAUCGCUUAUAUAACAAAUAUAAGGAGUGUAUCGACAACAACAAUAAGAGUGGAAGAGCUCAUAUCACUUUUGAAUUCAUCAAAAUAUAGCAGGGUUGCUUAACAAACAAGAUUUUAUUAAUGUAGCCAUCACAGACCUGCAAAGAAAUUUAGGAAAUGUAGAAUGUAGACAUCAUAU